rnacentral:rRNA from 1 species
GACGAACGCUGGCGGCGUGCUUAACACAUGCAAGUCGAACGGAAAGGCCCAAGCUUGCUUGGGUACUCGAGUGGCGAACGGGUGAGUAACACGUGGGUGACCUGCCCUGCACUUCGGGAUAAGCCUGGGAAACUGGGUCUAAUACCGGAUAGGACGACGGUUUGGAUGCUAUUGUGGAAAGUUUUUCCGGUGUGGGGUGAGGUCGCGGCCCAUCAGCUUGUUGGGGGGGGAUUGGCCUAUCAAGGCGUCGACGGGUAGCCGGCCUGUGAGGGGGUACGGCGACAUAGGGGCGGAGAGACGGCCCAGACUCCUACAGGGGGCAGCAGUGGGGAGUAUUGCGCAAUGGGCGCGGGCCUGAUGCAGCGACGCGGCGUGGGGGAUGACGGCCUUCGGGUUGUAAACUCCGUUCGCUAGGGACAAGGCGUUUUUGUGACGGUACCUGGAGAAGAAGCACCGGCUAACUACGUG